rnacentral:misc_RNA from 1 species
GGAUAAAGGCUUAGUUGAGUUUCUAUAGGAGAGAAUUAGAACAAGAAGAUUUAUAAUAAAAAUAGAAGAUCUUACUAAUAAGGAAUCCUGCAGAUAAAAGGAAACUAUAGCUUAAAAUGAUAUCAAAAUACUCAAGGAAAAAAUUGCCACAUCACUACUAAUCUCCACAAGCCACACGCCUCUUGUAAUUUCGGCCCACAAAUGCAUCUAUAACAGAUUUUUUUUAAUCAUGAAAGAUAUAAAUAAUUAUUUAAUUUUUGAAUUAGAAAAUUGAUUUCUAUUAUUGACAGGUGAACACGUUUUCUAUAUUUUUCUUGUUUUCUAUAUUUUUCUUGUUUUCUAUAUUUUUCUU